GCGCAGCAGUCGAGAAUUUUUCUCAAUGGGGGAAACCCUGAAGGAGCGACGCCGCGUGGAGGAUGAAGGCUUUCGGGUUGUAAACUCCUGUCAUUUGAGAACAAGUGGGACGCAGUAACUACGCGUCCCUUGAUAGUAUCAGAAGAGGAAGAGACGGCUAACUCUGUGCCAGCAGCCGCGGUAAUACAGAGGUCUCAAGCGUUGUUCGGAUUCAUUGGGCGUAAAGGGUGCGUAGGUGGCGCGCUAAGUCAGGUGUGAAAUCUCGGGGCUUAACUCCGAAACUGCAUUUGAUACUGGCGUGCUUGAGGACUGGAGAGGAGACUGGAAUUCAUGGUGUAGCAGUGAAAUGCGUAGAGAUCAUGAGGAAGACCAGUGGCGAAGGCGGGUCUCUGGACAGUUCCUGACACUGAGGCACGAAGGCCAGGGGAGCAAACGGGAUUAGAUACCCCUGUAGU
rnacentral:rRNA from 1 species